rnacentral:rRNA from 1 species
AGUGAACGCUGGCGGUAGGCCUAACACAUGCAAGUCGAACGGCAGCACAGUAAGAGCUUGCUCUUACGGGUGACGAGUGGCGGACGGGUGAGGAAUACAUCGGAAUCUACUUUUUCGUGGGGGAUUACGUAGGGAAACUUACGCUAAUACCGCAUACGACCUACGGGUGAAAGCAGGGGAUCUUCGGACCUUGCGCGAUUGAAUGAGCCGAUGUCGGAUUAGCUAGUUGGCGGGGUAAAGGCCCACCAAGGCGACGAUCCGUAGCUGGUCUGAGAGGAUGAUCAGCCACACUGGAACUGAGACACGGUCCAGACUCCUACGGGAGGCAGCAGUGGGGAAUAUUGGACAAUGGGCGCAAGCCUGAUCCAGCCAUACCGCGUGGGUGAAGAAGGCCUUCGGGUUGUAAAGCCCUUUUGUUGGGAAAGAAAAGCAGCAGGUUAAUACCCCGCUGUUCUGACGGUACCCAAAGAAUAAGCACCGGCUAACUUCGUG